AGAGGGUUUGAUUCUGGCUCAGAUUGGAACGCUGGCGGAUGCUCACACAUGCAAGUCGAACGGCAGCACUGACUUCGGUCUUUGGUGGCGAGUGGCGAACGGGUGAGUAAUGUAUCGGAACGCCUAGUAGCGGGGGAUAACCAGCGAAAGCGUAGCUAAUAUCGUGUAUACGCUCCUCGGGGAAAGCGGGACCUUCGGGCCUCGCACUAUUAGAGCGGCCGAUAUCGGAUUAGCGAAGGUGGGGCAACGGCUCACCAAGGCGACGAUCCGUAGCUGGUUUGAGAGGACGAACAGCCACACUGACUGAGACACGGCGACUCCUACGGGAGGCAGCAGUGGGGAAUGCCAGACAAUGGGGGAAACUCCUGAUCCAGCCAUCCCGCGUGUGCGAGUGAGAAGGCCUUCGGGUUGUAAAGCACUUUAAGUAGGAAAGAAACGGCACGUGAUAAUACCCCGUGCAACUGACGGUACCUGCAGAAUAAGCACUGGUUAACUACGUGCCAGCAGCCGCGGUAAUACGUAGGUGCAAGGCAUCAGAAUUACUUGGCGUAAAAGCGUGUGCAGGCGGUUCGGAAAGAAAGAUGUGAAAUCCCAGAGCUUAACUUGGAACUGCAUUUAACUACCGAGCAGCGAGGUCAGAGGGAGGUGGAAUUCGCGUGUAGCAGUGAAAUGCGUAGAUAUGCGGAGGAACACCGAUGGCGAAGGCAGCCUCCUGGGAUAACACUGACGCUCAUGCACGAUAGCGUAAGGAGCAAACAGGGAUUAGAUACCCCCAGUCCACGCCCUAAACGAUGUCGACUAGCUGUUGGGGCCUUCGGCCUUGGUAGCGCAGCUAACGCGUGAAGUUGACCGCCUGGGGAGUACGGUCGCAAGAUUAAAACUCAAAGGAAUUGACGGGGACCCGCACGCGGUGGAUGAUGCGAUUAAUUCGAUGCAACGCGAAAAACCUUACCGCAAUUCUGAUACGUCUGGAAUCCCGAAGAGAUUUGGGAGUGCCUGCAAGAGAACCGGAACACAGGUGCUGCAUGGCUGUCGUCAGCUCGUGUCGUGAGAUGCUGGGUUAAGUCCCGCAACGAGCGCAACCCUUGUCAUUAGUUGCUGACGAAAGGCACUCCCACGAGACUGCCGGUGACAAACCGAGGAAGGCGGGAUGUGACGUCAAGUCCUCAUGGCCCUUAUGGGCAGGGCUUCACACGUCAUACAAUGGUCGGGACAGAGGGUCGCCAACCCGCGAGGGGGGAGCCAAUCCCAGAAACCCGAUCGUGAAGGUCCGGAUCGCAGUCUGCAACUCGACUGCGCGGGAAGUCGGAAUCGCCAGUAACGCGAUCAGCAUGUCGCGGUGAAUACGUUCCCGGGUCGGUACACACCGCCCGUCACAUGGGAGUGGGUUUUACCAGAAGUAGUUAGCCUAACCGUAAGAGGGCGAUUACCAAUAGGAUUCAUGACUGGGUGAAGUCGUAACAAGGUAA
rnacentral:rRNA from 1 species